ensembl:snRNA U6 U6 spliceosomal RNA
AUGAUCAGAUAACUGCCAUAACAUAUAUAUUACAACUAGAACAACAAAGAUGAGAAAAGCAUGGUCCCUGGGCAAUGAUGACAUACAAAUUUAUGAAGUGUUCAAUAUUGUU